CCUACGGGAUGCUGCAGUAGGGAAUCUUCCACAAUGGGCGAAAGCCUGAUGGAGCAACGCCGCGUGGGUGAAGAAGGUCUUCGGAUCGUAAAACCCUGUUGUUAGAGAAGCAAGUGCGUGAGAGUAACUGUUCACGUUUCGACGGUAUCUAACCAGAAAGCCACGGCUAACUACGUGCCAGCAGCCGCGGUAAUACGUAGGUGGCAAGCGUUAUCCGGAUUUAUUGGGCGUAAAGGGAACGCAGGCGGUCUUUUAAGUCUGAUGUGAAAGCCUUCGGCUUAACCGGAGUAGUGCAUUGGAAACUGGGAGACGUGAGUGCAGAAGAGGAGAGUGGAACUCCAGGUGUAGCGGUGAAAUGCGUAGAUAUAUGGAAGAACACCAGUGGCGAAAGCGGCUCUCUGGUCUGUAACUGACGCUGAGGUUCGAAAGCGUGGGUAGCAAACAGGAUUAGAUACCCCAGUAGUC
rnacentral:rRNA from 1 species